UACGUAGGGUGCGAGCGUUGUCCGGAAUUACUGGGCGUAAAGAGCUCGUAGGUGGUUUGUCGCGUUGUCCGUGAAAACUCACAGCUCAACUGUGGGCGUGCGGGCGAUACGGGCAGACUGGAGUACUGCAGGGGAGACUGGAAUUCCUGGUGUAGCGGUGGAAUGCGCAGAUAUCAGGAGGAACACCGGUGGCGAAGGCGGGGUCUCUGGGCAGUAACUGACGCUGAGGAGCGAAAGCGUGGGGGAGCGAACAGG
rnacentral:rRNA from 1 species